rnacentral:rRNA from 2 species
UACAGAGGUGGCAAGCGUUGUUCGGAAUUACUGGGCGUAAAGGGCGCGUAGGCGGCCAUCUAAGUCAGACGUGAAAUCCCCCGGCUCAACCUGGGAACUGCGUCUGAUACUGGAAGGCUAGAGUUUGGGAGAGGGAUGUAGAAUUCCAGGUGUAGCGGUGAAAUGCGUAGAUAUCUGGAGGAAUACCGGUGGCGAAGGCGGCAUCCUGGACCAAUACUGACGCUGAGGCGCGAAAGCUAGGGGAGCAAACGGG